rnacentral:rRNA from 1 species
GGCUCAGUAACGCGUAGUCAAUCUACCCUAUGGACGGGAAUAACCUCGGGAAACUGAGAAUAAUGCCCGAUAGAACAUUAUGCCUGGAAUGGUUUAUGUUUUAAAUGAUUUAUCGCCAUAGGAUGGGACUGCGGCCUAUCAGUUUGUUGGUGAGGUAAUGGCCCACCAAGACUAUUACAGGUACGGGCUCUGAGAGGAGUGGCCCGGAGAUGGGUACUGAGACACGGACCCAGGCCCUAUGGGGCGCAGCAGGCGAGAAAACUUUGCAAUGUGCGAAAGCACGACAAGGUUAAUCCGAGUGAUUUCUGCUAAAGAAAUCUUUUGCUAGUCCUAGAAACACUAGUGAAUAAGGGGUGGGCAAGUUCUGGUGUCAGCCGCCGCGGUAAAACCAGCACCUCAAGUGGUCAGGAUGAUUAUUGGGCCUAAAGCAUCCGUAGCUCGUUUUGUAAGUUUUCGGUUAAAUCCAUACGCUUAACGUAUGGGCUGCCGGGAAUACUGCAUAACUAGGAAGUGGGAGAGGUAGACGGUACUCGGUAGGAAGGGGUAAAAUCCUUUGAUCUAUUGAUGACCACCUGUGGCGAAGGCGGUCUACCAGAACACGUUCGACGGUGAGGGAUGAAAGCUGGGGGAGCAAACCGGAUUAGAUACCCGGGUAGUCCCAGCUGUAAACUAUGCAAACUCAGUGAUGCAUUGGCUUGUGGCCAAUGCAGUGCUGCAGGGAAGCCGUUAAG